GUGGAUUAGAUACCCUGGUAGUCCACGCCGUAAACGAUGUCUACUAGCCGUUGGGAUCCUUGAGGUCUUAGUGGCGCAGCUAACGCAAUAAGUAGACCGCCUGGGGAGUACGGUCGCAAGAUUAAAACUCAAAUGAAUUGACGGGGGCCCGCACAAGCGGUGGAGCAUGUGGUUUAAUUCGACGCAACGCGAAGAACCUUACCAGGUCUUGACAUCCAGAGAACUUUCCAGAGAUGGAUUGGUGCCUUCGGGAGCUCUGAGACAGGUGCUGCACGGUUGUCGUCAGCU
rnacentral:rRNA from 1 species